rnacentral:rRNA from 1 species
AUUGAACGCUGGCGGCAUGCCUUACACAUGCAAGUCGAACGGUAACAGGUCUUCGGAUGCUGACGAGUGGCGAACGGGUGAGUAAUACAUCGGAACGUGCCUAGUAGUGGGGGAUAACUACUCGAAAGAGUGGCUAAUACCGCAUGAGAUCUACGGAUGAAAGCAGGGGAUCGCAAGACCUUGUGCUACUAGAGCGGCCGAUGGCAGAUUAGGUAGUUGGUGGGAUAAAAGCUUACCAAGCCGACGAUCUGUAGCUGGUCUGAGAGGACGAUCAGCCACACUGGGUCUGAGAAACGGCCCAGACUCCUACGGGAGGCAGCAGUGGGGAAUUUUGGACAAGGGGCGCAAGCCUGAUCCAGCAAUGCCGCGUGCAGGAUGAAGGCCUUCGGGUUGUAAACUGCUUUUGUACGGAACGAAAAGCCCUGGGUUAAUACCCUGGGGUCAUGACGGUACCGUAAGAAUAAGCACCGGCUAACUACGUGCCAGCCGCCGCCGUAA